rnacentral:rRNA from 1 species
GAUGAACGCUAGCGGCAGGCUUAACACAUGCAAGUCGAGGGGUAGAAGGAGCUUGCUCCUUUGAGACCGGCGCACGGGUGCGUAACGCGUAUGCAAUCUACCUUUUGCAGAGGGAUAGCCCAGAGAAAUUUGGAUUAAUACCUCAUAGUAUGUGAGGAUGGCAUCAUUUUCACAUUAAAGUCACAACGGCAAAAGAUGAGCAUGCGUCCCAUUAGUUAGUUGGUAAGGUAACGGCUUACCAAGACAAUGAUGGGUAGGGUCCUGAGAGGGAGAUCCCCCACACUGGUACUGAGACACGGACCAGACUCCUACGGGAGGCAGCAGUGAGGAAUAUUGGUCAAUGGGCGCAAGCCUGAACCAGCCAUGCCGCGUGCAGGAAGACGGUCCUAUGGAUUGUAAACUGCUUUUAUACAGGAAGAAACCCUCCCACGUGUGGGAGCUUGACGUACUGUAGGAAUAAAGGGAUCGGCUAACUCCGUGCCAGCAG